CCCGAGCUUUCUUUUCUGGUCUCUGAAAUUCACCUUCCCGUGAAAAAGCAGCAUCUUCCGAUGACUCUGUACUUGGCAUCCAUCCGUCCUACUAACAGAUUUUCAGUCCAGGCAAGGAAAGCUUAUCCCACUUCCUUCCCGUCCCCUCCUGCCCUUGGAGGAGGUUUUGUCGUCUCCGAGCUGGCCUCGGCAGAGCUGAUGUGGCGGGUGAGCACCGGAUCUUGGCAUUUGGGGAUGGCGUUGGUCGGAGACUCCUGUCUAUACUGUAAAGAACACAAACAGAACGAACGCGUGCAGUCUGAGGCCAUGGAUGCUGUCCAGCCCCAGAGGAAGGCAGGGGCCCUUCAAUCUGGGGUCGAGCGCUGGCCGGUCCCCAAGGGCGGAGAAGCCGGGAGCAAGGCCCACAGCGGCGGCGGCUGCCCACCGGCCCACCCCCCUUGACAGCCCCGGGACUGUGGAGGAGCUGCUGACCCGGCCCUUUUGCAGGAGCUGCGCGGAGAACUCUUCUCCUUUUUGGGAAAAACAAAGCAACCUCAAUCUGGACAGAUUUUCCUUGAGAAGAAUCCACUCGGCCUUAUGCCUCUCUGUGGCGACUUUCUGCCUCAGGCUUUGAAAACCAAGGCCACGUAAUGGGUUGCUUCUCUGAGGAGCCUCAUAGCUCUGAAUUUUUACAAGAGUUGACCCAAGAAGCCUAUGCUUGCCCGACCAAGGGGAAAGAGGGUAACUAAAUACUCCUUUCUUUCUUAAAUUCAUUUUUAAUUGAAUUAUAAUUGACACGCGAUAUUAUAUGGGUUUGAGGUGUGCCUCGGUGACUUGAUAUUUUUACCUAUUACAAAAUGAUCUCACUGCCGUCCGUCACCGUGCAGAGCUACUAUUACGAUAUUAUUAACCAGACUCCCUACGCAGGCACAAUUUAACAAAUAUUCAAGGAACCUCCUACAGCAUGGGUAAAGCAUGGGCUAGCUUUGGGGUAGGGAGACAUUUUUUUUCCUGGCUUUUUCUUUAAAGAUGAUAUUUAUUUUAGAGAGAGAGAGAGAGCAUGCAUGAGAGUGCAAGUAGCCGGAGGGGCCGAGGGAGAGAAUCCCAAAGCAUAUCCUCUGCUGAGCAGGUCGGUGGAUAUGGCGCUUGAUCCCAGAACCCUGAGAUCAUGACCUGAGCUGAAAUCCAGAGUCGGCCGCUGCACAGACUGAGCCCCCCGGGCUUCCCACCUUCCUUGGUCUUCAGAUCCUGGACCAGGCAAGUAGCACUUGCAAUAAGACCCUAGAGCACAGUGACUCUGGUGAGAUAGAGCUUCAUGCACUAGUCCAGAGGCAGGUGGUCUAAUGGGUGGUCCCGCCACGUGCGUAGGGUCCUCACUCAAGCCUCUGUAUUCCAGUCGGGGGAAGGGAGGAAACUACAUGCUUACCCCACGGUCCAUGCACACCCCACUAGUCAGACGCUGGUGACAUGGCCCCUCUAGUAAUCAGGGAUAUUGAGGAAUGCAGUCGCCAGUGGAGCACCCGCGCACCUAGCUAAGAAUGAGAGACUCCUUCAUUGGAAAACAAAUACUGAUGGACACGGACUAGUCUCUGCCAACCUUUCUUUCACUUAUUCACCGACCAACCAUUAUCUUUCGAGUGGCAGCCAUCAUUUGGCGUUGUUUCCGUACAGUUGCUUAUAAUUCACUGGUGUGUAUGAACAUAUGCUCAGCUGAAAAGUCUCCCCGCGCCGUGCUCGCUGAUAGGGAGUUCAGAUGCUGCGGAUCUUCAGGGAAGCAAAGGCUCGUCCUGACUAGAGAGAUGCAUGUAUUCAGCAUAUUAACUGAGCGCGGCAGCGCAGCGAGCCUGUAAGAUGGCCCUAGACUUCCACCUCCUGGUGUUCACGGCCUUGGGCAAUCCCCGCCCCUUGAGCGGGGACGCGACCUGGUGGCUUGCUUCUCAGAGAUAAAAAUACAGCAAAAGUGAUGGAAUGUCACGUCUGAGUUUCAAUGACCGAAAGACUUUGACUCCUCCAGCUUCCUUGAACGCUCGCACUCUCUGUCUCCCUCCCUGGGAGCCUUGCUCUGGGGGAAUCCAGCUUCCAUGUUUUGAGUAACUCGAUGGAGAAUCUCAUGUGGCAAGGAAAUAGCAUCCUCGGUCAACAGCCAACGAGGCCCUAGAGCCUGCUGGCAGCAUGUGAUUGAGCUUGGAAGCCAGUGUCCUGAGGCCUGCCAACAGCCUCAUGAGUGAGCUUGGAAGCAGAUACUUCUGCAGUUGACCCUUGAGAUGAUGCAGCCCAGCAGACGCCUUGACUGCUGCCCUGUGAGAGACCCUGAUAGCCACAAGCAUCCAACUAAGUGGCCCCCUACCCGAAUUCCGGACCGCAGAAACUAUGAGGUAGUAAAUAUUGUUGAAAGCUGCAGAAUUUCACAGCCGUUUGUAAUGCAGCAGUAGACAGCUGGCGCAGUACCUGCUGUUUUCAGAGAUUGUGCUAGGUGAGAAGAAUGUGAAGAAGGAGUGAUGCCCGGUCACCGCAUGCGGGGAGACGAGGAGACAGGUGUGUGUGCAGAUGCGGCACGAGCGACCCAAGGUGUAAGUGCAUUGUGGAGACGUGCUGAGCGUGAGGCAGGAGAGCAGGGAAGGGGCUGCUUAUCCAGGAGCGGGGCGAGGUCAUCCUGGAGGGGCUGCUCUUCAGAGAGGGGACGUGGGCAGUGCCUGGAGGUGAAAUGGUGCGGCGUCCGCCCGGGACCCAAGCCCCACAGCUUGUGCGCCACCCAAGACGGGAACAAACGUGGUCAGAGACUAGUCUAGCCUCGCGCCAGUCAUUAAUCUUAAAGGCAUCAACAUUGGCUUUGCGUGAACGGAGGCAGAAACAAGAGUUAAAAAAAAAAGGAACUGGCGUGUUCUUCUCAACAGACCAACACCUGAAUUUUAAGAAGCCAAAUGCAAUUAUCUAGAGAACACAGACGAGUGUAAUUUGCCUCAUUGUUCUUGCUCAUAAAAUUGAGCAGAGAACUGUUGACAUGUUUCCAUGGAAUAAUUGUGGUUCUUGCUAAAAAACUGGCUCAGGUGACAUUUGAUGCUUUUACAAGUGGGAAAUUGACCCUUCCAGCUGGAGGAUUUUAUGAAUCUGUAGUUUGAACGUCAGAGGGGAGAUUUGGGAAGCACUGCAUGUCUUCUUGUGUAGUUGAUUGUUUUCCUCUUCCCGCCCCCUCCUCUCCUUCUUCUCUCAGUCCUUCUUUUUCUUUCUUCCCUACUUUCUCCUUCACUCCCUCCCCACCUCUCUCUUGCAGUUCUUCAAAAUGUUGACGGUUUCAUAAUAUCUCUUAGCUCUAACCAUCAGCUUUGCAAAGGUUCAGAAGCACUCCUCUUUCCCCUGCCUGGAGGAUUAGCUCCAAAGGUCCUUCAACUGUUCUUGGAAGGUUCUCUGGGUCACAACUGCUCAUGAGUGAGUCCAAUGAUUCAGCAAAUAAUGCAUUUAUUUGAACCAAAACAGCUACAAAACUGGGCUUAUGGAUAGUGGUUGGUCUAGAAUAGGAAGAAGUAAAAACAAUGGUUAAAUAAACUUUUAAAAUUAAAAUGUUUUAUGAUACCAUUUCAAAAUGAUUUUCUGAAUCUGGAGUCCAUGAUUACGCCCAUGAAAUAAUGGUUAGUGCCCCCUUGCAUCUGUAUGGCACAGUUCCUUGAAUCUGGAGUUUCUCAUCAUGCCCGCAGGGACAGGGGUUUUGAGUAGACGCCUAGGAAUAAAACAUCACCUGCUCUGCUGGGUUUUGCUAGAGGUCCACCCUCCAGGCUUCGUCGGGCACCAUUUUCCUAUCAUGGAGUUAUUUCUUCCUCUGAUUCCCCAUAUAUGAGUGUCUUGUGCUCCCGUUAACUACCUGCAGGAAUGAUAGUAAAGUAUUUCCAACCAAAAAGGCAAAGGCCUCAAGCAAUCGGAAUGGGCAUGAUGCUGGAUCAACGUCCCAGAAAUCCCUCCUUUAUGCCAGCCACUGCCCCGCUCUGCAGGGAGGUCUGCGGUUCCGGAGGAGGGACCUGGUGGCAAGAGCGUCUUUGGGGACUACUCUGGGGUUUCUUGAGGCUCAGAUUCCUAUAGGCAGAAUAAUGGCUUUAAUGCGUGUCUUCCCACCAGGCUGUGAGUAGCUGGAGGCUGGGCUCCCGCUCCCCUCGCCUCUCCGCCACGGCAGAGAGUGUCGCUCCACAAUGGUGCUUAGUGACUAUUUGUUGGGCAAAAGUGCAAUGCGGCCGCUAUUUGGGGGGUCAGGAAUUACUGGACUCGGGCGCUACACAGGCACUGUGGGAAGCGUGAAGAGAAAUAAGGGUUUUCCUUUACCUUCGCUGGGUUUUCUGUCCAGUUACUAGACUCUGCUGGAAACGGUGUCCUGCAUCUUGGCUCCCCAGGGCCCAGGGCGAUGCUCGGCGUGUGGCAGGCGUUCGGUAAACACGUGUCGAUUGACCGUAACCUCACGUGUCCAAGCCAGAGGGUUGCUUCAGACAGCCCCAACCCCCCCCCACCGAAAUGUGCCAGUGCAGCGGAGUCUGUCCCGCAGAACUGCUCCCAGGGAUCCAGCAAACCAUAUGGUUAUAGCCAGGAACAAAAGCCACUAGGAAAAUAACGCAUCGCUUUUCAUCUGGGUGUUUCAAAAGGCACGGAGUUAUUAAAAUAAGGUCACAGCUGUCCCAAUCGGAUCCUUUUCAAAGGAACGACAGGCCUGGGAGCCAACGGUGACCACAUACACCUUCGCAGUCCUCGGAACCAGUGUUCUCGACACUGAAAGCAAAAUCGAGUAAACAAGGCUGUGUCGUGGACUUCCCUGACCCAGACUUUCAGGAAGGAGCUGACACGCUGCCCAGACUCGCGCUCACCCACAUAGCUCCGAAGCCAAACAAACCGGAGAAGCUCGUGUUUUCCCAGCUGUGUGAUGCGCUCACUUCGCCAAACGAUUGGCCAGAAAACAAGGGAGAGAGAGAAAAAAGUACGCGUGGUUCAGACCAGGCAAGGAAAGACGAAUUGCUUCAGCUGGCCUUUGUGUUUUUAUUUUCACGAACUACCAAGAAAUAUAAAAAUGUAGGAGGUUGAAUCAAUGGGUUUUAGGUACUAAAAAGGAAGCAGAUGCUUCUGUUUUUCUUUUAAAGAUCUUAUCGUGUCAUUCCUCUGCUUCAAAACUUCAGUGGCUUUACACUCGCAGGCCCUUGGGUAACCGUCCAGGUCGUGCACAACUCGCUCACUCACCACCUUCCCAGCCACAUCUGCCCCCCCUGCCCCCCCAAAGCAGUCGGAGGUUCGCCAGCCUCUCCUUGCCUUCCGUGCGGGCUGUGCUCCCUCCUCCUUGCUUCUGUCCGUGCUGUUCCCUCUGCUUGUCACACCCUUCCCUGUCCCUGAUCUGCAGGGAAACUCUUACCGUGCAAGACCAGGUAAGGAGGCCUUUUCCAGCGCCACUGCCCCCGCUGCUCGUAACCGAACCAGCAGCUCUUCCAUCCGUCUCCACCUAGGCCUGACCACGGGUGUGCACGGCUCUCUGAACACGUUCCUCGUAUCGUCCACCCAUUCGGGCAACAUUCGUGGGCCUGCGGCCUCACCCCGGGCGCUCUGCCAAGCGGGGGGACCCGCUUACGGAAGCCCCGACUGGCGGGCGCUCAGACAAAUAUGAAGAGUCCCUGCUGCGAAUCAGUCAGAUACCCCGUCUCCCUUCCGUCUUUACAUCAUUUUGACACCUCUACCAAUGGAGAUGUCAGGAUUUGUGGCUUAAAUGACGCUGAAAAUUAGGCGUGAAACUGGAUGAUUUAUUGUUAUUAAUAUUACUUAUUAACCAAUAAACGCAGUCAAUUAACAACAUCUAUCACAACUAUUAA